rnacentral:rRNA from 1 species
AUUGAACGCUAGCGGGAUGCCUUACACAUGCAAGUCGAACGGAGUGGCGAACGGGUGAGUAAUGUAUCGGAACGUGCCCAGUAGCGGGGGAUAACUACGCGAAAGCGUAGCUGAUACAGCAUACUAUUGGAGCGGCCGAUAUCGGAUUACCUAGUUGGUGGGGUAACGGAUCACCACGGCGACGAUCAGUAGGUGGUUUGAGAGGACGCGCAGCCACAGUGGGACUGAGACACGUCCCAGACUCCUACGGUAGGCAGCAGUGGUGAAUUUUGGACAAUGGGGUAGACCCUGAUCCAGCCAUCCCGCGUGUGCGAUGAUGUCCUUCGGGUUGUAAAGCACUUUUGGCAGGAAAGCGGUACCUGCAGAAUAAGCACAGGCUAACUACGUGACAGUAGCCGCGGUAAUAC